rnacentral:rRNA from 1 species
UACGUAGGGUGCGAGCGUUAUUCGGAAUUACUGGGCGUAAAGCGUGCGCAGGCGGUGAUGUAAGACCGAUGUGAAAUCCCCGGGCUUAACCUGGGAACUGCAUUGGUGACUGCAUCGCUCGAGUAUGGCAGAGGGGGGUAGAAUUCCACGUGUAGCAGUGAAAUGCGUAGAGAUGUGGAGGAAUACCGAUGGCGAAGGCAGCCCCCUGGGUCAAUACUGACGCUCAUGCACGAAAGCGUGGGGAGCAAACAGG